UGGAGUUUCUAUAACAGCCGAGGAUGGUUGGCGUUGGAAGCAGCCAUUCAAUUUAAAGAGUGCGUAAACAGCUCACUGGUCGAGAGACUCUGCGAACGGAAAAUAAGUCGGGCAUACAAACUGUAGAAACCGAAGUUACUAAAUUCCAGCUUGCUGGAGUGGGUAGGGGAGCAUUAGAAACAACUGUAGAAGGUGUACGGUCACGUAUGCUGGAGUGGUUUACAAAAGAAAAUGUAGGCAUAAGUAACGAUAAUCAAUGUAGAAAAAACAUUGACCGACCCGUAAAACCCAAGGUUUUCCUGAUACAAUUGUUUAAUCAGAUCGAGGGGUUUAGGUCCGGGUCCUUAGGACCAAAACCCGGAAAGGGGUAGUUGAUGGCAAGUCGGUUAAUAUUCCGACACCUGCUUAUACUUCGAUGGAGUGACGGGGUAGUGAAAGUUCCGCGGACGUACGGAAGUGUCCGUUAAAGGGUGUAGAUAUUAGUUCUGUAGGCAAAUCCGCAGAGUUAGUCGAACCUGAUAGUACUGCAAAGCUUCGGCUGCGUAGAUAGUGAACCUAAUCAGACCUCCGAGAAAACCUUCUAAGUUAUGGUAUAAGCAGCCCGUACCGCAAACCGACACAGGUGGGUGGGAUGAAUAUUCUAAGGCGCUCGGGUGAGCCGUGGAGAAGGAACUAGGCAAAUURACGCUGUAACUUCGGGAUAAAGCGUACCAUCUUCGGAUGGUCUCAGUAAAAUGGUACAACCAACUGUUUAGCAAAAACACAGGGCCCUGCAAAAUCGUAAGAUGACGUAUAGAGCCUGAUACCUGCCCGGUGCUGGAAGGUUAAGGAAGGAUGUUCGGAGUAAUCCAAAGCUUCUGACUGAAGCCCCAGUAAACGGCGGCCGUAACAAUAACGGUCCUAAGGUAGCGAAAUUCCUUGUCGGGUAAGUUCCGACCUGCACGAAUGGUCUAAUGAGUUGUACACUGUCUCCUCCACGAGCCCGGUGAAAUUGUAGUAUCGGUGAAGAUGCCGGUUACCCGUCACGGGACGGAAAGACCCCAUGAACCUUCACUACAACUUUGCAUUGAUUUUGAAUUUUUGAUGUGUAGGAUAGUUGGGAGACUUUGAAGUAGUGUCGCUAGGCAUUAUGGAGUCGUCGUUGAAAUACCAACCUUUAAACAUUUAGAAUCUAAUCCCYAACGGGAAACAGUGCAUGGUGGGUAGUUUGACUGGGGUGGUCGCCUCCUAAAAUGUAACGGAGGCUUGCAAAGGUUCCCUCAGUACGGUUGGUAAUCGUACAUAGAGCGUAUUAGUAUAAGGGAGCUUGACUGUGAGACCUACAAGUCGAGCAGGCACGAAAGUGGGCUAAAGUGAUCCGGUGGUUCUGUAUGGAAGGGCCAUCGCGAC
rnacentral:rRNA from 1 species